rnacentral:rRNA from 1 species
UCCUACGGGAGGCAGCAGUGAGGAAUAUUGGUCAAUGGGCGAGAGCCUGAACCAGCCAAGUCGCGUGAGGGAGUACUGCCCUAUGGGUUGUAAACCUCUUUUGUCGGGGAGCAAAACCCGCCUCGUGCAGGCGGAGCGAGAGUACCCGAAGAAAAAGCAUCGGCUAACUCCGUGCCAGCAGCCGCGGUAAUACGGAGGAUGCGAGCGUUAUCCGGAUUUAUUGGGUUUAAAGGGUGCGCAGGCGGACCAUCAAGUCAGCGGUAAAAUCGUGGGGCCAAACCCCAUCCC